rnacentral:sRNA from 1 species
AAAGGGGGCGGACAAUCGCGUGAGUGCGGCGGGCGUAGCUGUGCCCGGGUCCUAGCGCCGGACCCGGCGACGCCAAGAAACCACCUAAUAGGAGGCCGGAAGCAUCGGAAGUCACAUGCUGCCCAGGCUGCGCGGGUGAUUGGCUUGGCUGGACCUGAAUGAUGCGGCUGUGAUUGCUGAAUUGUCUGGGCAGGGAUGAAAAGCGCUCGCGACGUUGUUCCCGAAGUGCACCUGCCGGCUGCCAGUCCAAGUGAUGCAGGCGAUGCUCCGCUGAGUGCAUUUCGGUGCAGUCCUGUAACGGGCCCCGGGGGCGCAACUUGAACCAUAGCAAGCAUCGAAAAGUCUCGGUGCGGUCCUUCAAAGGGACAUAGUGGGAUGUACAGAGCAGAGGAUUAAAAAGCGUUUCAUUCAUUCA